GAAUAUUGGACAAUGGGCGAAAGCCUGAUCCAGCCAUGCCGCGUGAGUGAAGAAGGCCUUAGGGUUGUAAAGCUCUUUCAACGGUGAAGAUAAUGACGGUAGCCGUAGAAGAAGCCCCGGCUAAAUUCGUGCCAGCAGCCGCGGUAAUACGAAUGGGGCAAGCGUUGUUCGGAAUCACUGGGCUUAAAGCGUGCGUAGGCGGAUAAGAAAGUCAGAAGUGAAAUCCCUGGGCUCAACCCAGGAACUGCUUUUGAAACUUCUUGUCUAGAAUCCGGGAGAGGUCAGGAGAAUUCCUAGUGUAGAGGUGAAAUUCGCAGAUAUUAGGAGGAAUACCAGUGGCGUAGGCGCCUGACUGGACCGGUAUUGACGCUGAGGCGCGAAAGCCAGGGGAGCAAACGGG
rnacentral:rRNA from 1 species